UAGCUUCCUUUAUGCUAUAUAAUCUAUUUGAGUCAUUUGUGUUAAUUGGAAUGUGGAUUUUUAUUCCAUUUGAGUUUUCAUGUGUCAUGUGUGGUGACAUUUAUUUGUGAGUUCUUUUGAGUACUUGUGGUCUAGAACUUGCCCGGAAUGUGCUUUGAGGCGAAAUUAUAGACUAAAUUGGUUUGAAAAAUUUUAUCAGGCCUUUCUUGGACCACUAGUAUGCCUUAAAUUUCCUACCCUUAAAUAUUUUCCCUAGUCAACCAAUUAUGAGCCUUUAAUCUUAUUAUUUGGCAACCAUGUUACAUGCUUAAAUACUUUGUUCUUAAAUGAUAUAUCUUUUGGCACCCUACUUCCCUAAGUACCUUGAAAGUGUUUAUGUAGGCUAAAAGCCUAAGUUUGGGGUUGAAUGGUUGGAAAAGUUGUGAUAUGAAAGUUGUUGAAAAGGUGGAAGGUAGAAAAAAAGGACCUAUAAGCCUAUGUUUGGGCGUGCAAGUUGGGAAAGGUGUGAUAUGGAAAUUGAUUGAAAAGGUGAAGGGUAAGUUGUGAAUAAAUAGAAGACUAGGUGUGGAAUGAAACGUGAAGAAAGGAUGGAAAAUAUUUUUGAAGGAAGUGGACUUUAAUUGUAAACUUUGUAGUGCUUGGGAAAGUUUUGAGUCACUUUAAAAAUUGUACCUUACCUUAACCAAAUGCAUAGCACUACAACCCUUUUAGUCCUAAUUGAUUUUGAACUAAGUUGUCUACAUUAGUGGAGAAAUACGUAAAGGGCAAGCCUAUGGUACUACUUGUAUGCAUUUGAACAUCUUUUGGAGAGUGAGUUAAUUCUUUCCAUUUUGAUAUCCCAUUUUUGAUUUAACUUGAGAUUUAUGAGUCUGGGAUAUUCUCUUGAAUGUAAGGGCACAUGAGAAUUUUAGUUGUGAAUUUAAUCCUAUUCUCAAUUGAUAAGAAUGACCAAAGAAUAUUGAUUGUGAUAUAGAGGCAAAUUUUGAAGCUUUAGUAUCAUAACUUGGUUGCUACUUUGAUUUGCAUUAGUUUUUGAGCACUUGAAGUAUAAGUUUAUGUGAAGUGCUCGAUAAUUCAUAUACUUUGGAGUAAUUGUUAGUACCAAUCGAAGUCAUGCUUUUGUGCUUAUAAUAGACCUAUUUGGCUUGGAUGAUAUGGAUGCAUUGUUGAGUUAAAUACUUGGGAAGAGAUUUUGUCACUUUCAUUGCUUCUCGACAAGCAAUAGUCUAAGUUUGGGGGAGUGAUAAGUGGGUAAAAUACCCACUUAUAUUGUCUUUAAACCUAUACUUUUGAUGUGUUCAGUGAUUAAAGUUGUCCGUUUUAAUGUCGUUUACUUCUAUUUUGCAGGUUGUAAGUGAUUUAGAAGUAAUGGCGAAGGAACCAAGUGAAAACAAUCCAAAAAGGAGUAAAAAUGGACAAAACAAAGCUGCCCAGUGAAUUACUCUUCGCGAACGCGAUGAACUAGUCCCAGAAAUACUACGUGAACGCGUAAGCUAAUCGCAAACGCGAUGGGCAGAAACAGUGACCUUCGUGAAGGCAAAGGCGAAGGGCAGAAAGUCAAGGGCAGAAGUCAAAGUUUCACGAACGCGUGGUCAAACCUCGAACGCAAAGGUCAGGAGGCAUUACAACAUCGCGAAGGCGAUGAAUGUACGCGAACGCAAAGUCUUAAUUGCCUGGGAAGAAAGGGCAAUUCUGGAAUUUCACGACUUUGACCUAAAUCCUUUAAUACCCAAAUCAGUUCAUUUUUUACGUAUCUUUGUCUUAUUUUCAGUCCAUAGAGACUAGAGAGAACAAGGAGAAUACUAGGGUUCUUGCACAAACACACUUGGGUCUUGAAGAUUGAAACUUGUGGUUAAUAUUUUCUUACAUAUUUAUGUUGCUUUCUUCAUUUCUUUUCUUUUUAUUGUAAAUCUAAGUGUCUAUUAU
rnacentral:lncRNA from 1 species